GUCUACAGCCAUACCACCCUGAACGUGCUGGUCUCUGGUCUCAGAAGCUAAGCACAGUUGGGCCUGGUUGGUACUUGGAUGGGAGAAAUAGUACAAGAUAUAGUUGGUA
rnacentral:rRNA from 1 species